ACCCAAACAGCCUGAUUGGCUCACACGAACGCAUCUCCCCCGCUAACCCUAUUCCGCUCGCGCCUCCUCCCACGCGGAGCUCAACCUCGAUCGAGCUCUCCCCCUCUCCUUCACCUCUCCGAUCUCUCCUCCUAAAUCGCCGUCGACCUCGCGCGCACCUCCACGCGCUCUUCAGCCUCGCUGCGGCGGGGACGCGGGGCCCACCCUCGACGAGCACCUCGCCGUGCUCGCCCCCGCGGGCGGCGCCGGCGCCACCGCGGACGACGUCGCCGCCCUCGCCGGCCACGGCUCGCCGACGCCUCCGCCGCCGGUGUGCCCCGCGCCUCCUUCGAGAACAGGGUGCGGGUCGACGCCUCCCUCUCCCUCAAGGCCGCGUUCGCGGAGAUCGCCGUCUCCGCUUACAAGGCGGAGGUCCGAUCCGUCGAUUUCCGAACCAAGCUUGCGAAGAAGCUUCAUCCUGAUACAAACAAAGGUGACGCUGAUGCUGAAAGGAAGUUCCAAGAAGUCCAGCGAGCUUAUGAGACAUUGAAGGAUGAGCAGAAACGUUCUUUCUAUGACCAGGUUGUGCUGAUCAAUAUGAAAAAGCUGCUUCAGGAGGUGGAGCAGGUCCAGGUGGACCAUUUGAAGGUGGAUUUAGCAAUCCUUUCGAGGACUUCUUUGGCGGCGGCGACGGAAUGAAUGAUGUAAGGACUUUCUUAUCUUUCAAUUGUUUCGAACUUUUGAUGCUAUGUUCAAUAAACCCAUUAUAUACACCUAGCAACUGGAAUUUUGGUUUGCUGUAUAUUGAUUUGUCAGUGUUGUUAUAUAUCAGUGAAAAUAUAUGGUUCUAAACGAGUUGAGAGCGUCAAAUACUUUUGAAGAGAUAAAUAUCUGUUUUCCACCAUCCAUU